rnacentral:rRNA from 1 species
UACGUAGGCAGCGAGCGUUGUUCGGAAUUACUGGGCGUAAAGAGUGUGUAGGCGGUGCUCUAAGUUCGGUGUGAAAUCUCCUGGCUCAACUGGGAGGGUGCGCCGGAAACUGGAGUGCUUGAGCGUGGGAGAGGAAAGCGGAAUUCCUGGUGUAGCGGUGAAAUGCGUAGAUAUCGGGAGGAACACCCGUAGCGAAGGCGGCACUCUGGGCCGGAACUGACGCUGAGGAGCGAAAGCGUGGGGAGCAAACAGG